rnacentral:rRNA from 1 species
UUAGUCGGUCUCGGAGCAAACGAAGUGAAGCAUGUUAUUUAAUACGAAAGUACGCGUAAAAUCUUACCAGUUCUUGCAUAAACCAAUCUCUCUUUGAUUUUUAAUUGGGAUUGUUUUUAUAACUUCUUAAAUUAAAAAUUUAAGACUAGAUUGUAUAGUUUCUUAUAUUUACUUAUUUUAUUGACUUUUUACUAUUUACUUUUGUUUUUUUAAUUUAAAUAAAAAACAAAGUUUAAAACAUAGAAGUAAAUAAAAUUAAAAAAAGAGACUUGUUUACAGGUGUUGCAUGGCUGUCGUCA